AAGAUGCUGAAAGUUUGGGUCUUAAUAUUGCUUGUUGCAAAUGUUUACUCACGGGUCGUUAUAAAUCAACCUCAUCUUUCUAUAACUAAAGCAGAAGUUGGAGCUCCAAUAGCCCGAAUCAAAUGUGAAGUGAAAAGGGACAGCUCAGACCCUUCAACUGUUCAUUGGUAUAUGCAGAAAGCAAAUGAAGGAUUAAAGAGAAUCCUCUAUAUUGCACAUACUAAACCUGAGUAUGAUGCUGGCACUGACAAAAGCAGAUUUGAUUCCGAUAACAAAAAUGAUACAUAUACACUGAUUAUCCAAGGGAUAAAAGCCAAAGAUACUGCCACUUAUUACUGUGCCAACUGGGAUAAGCACACUGACUAAAUGCAGUUAUCUGCUUGUACAAAUAGAUGGUAUGCUUUCAGUGUUUUCAUUUUAUUUAGCACACUCACUGUUCUACAUUUUCUGUUAUUAAAAAUAAUCCAGGUUA